CGUUGUGAGUCAGCUGUCUUCUUAUACUGGUCUUCGAUACACAUUGGCCAGUUUUUCUUCGUCGUUGACUGCUUAUGGUCCAUUAUUUAUUUUUUUAGCAGCAUGCAUUUGUGGGAUGGAGUAUGUGCAGUGGACUGCGAGGAGUUUUCAGGCUAAAGUUUUAGGUAUGAUACUGAUGGUGGGCGGAGGCUGUAUCGUGGGAUUUUUAUCAGGGCCCCACCAUCAGUAUCAUGCACUCUCCUGUUGUUAGCCACAGUGGGAUGGAUACACGAGAGCUUAGAGAUGACUGGUUUCGUGGUCCACUUCUAGUUUUAGUUGCAUUAGCUGCCUCGGUUUGGUAUAUUUUUCUUUAUGCUUUUGUAAUUAUGAAGAAUCUUUGAUUAUAAUCUUCAGAUUGUAAGUUUUUUCUUCUAUCUUAAAAUUUAUAUUAAUACCGUUGUCGUUCUUUAUGCUUUUGUAAUUGGUUAUUCUAUCUAACAACAUAAUUUAUGUUUUAUUUUUCUUGUAUCUUCAAUAGAAGAAUGUGGCAGCACAGUAUGGAUCAGCCAUAUGGUUGAGUUUCUACAUAACUGUUGCGGGUACGCUCAAGACUUUGGCAGCAGCUGGGAUGUUAGAGGUGAGAUCUCCAUUUGCAUGGAAGAUUAUAGCAGACAUCAUAUUGGUCUGCUAUACAUAUUCGGGUGUCGUUGUUUCGGGUCUUGCUUCAUUUCUCCAAAUCACACUCGCUAGGAUGAGAGAUCUCGUCUUCGUAGCCGCAUUGCCCAAUCUCAUUAGUCUUUGUUAUGGUGAUGAGUUUGGUAGCAUUGAGGGAUGUUA